UCAGCUCUACUGCCUUUCCUCCCUGAGGAGUCCCUCACCCCAAGCCCCAAGACUUCUGGGGCAUGAAUGGUGCUAGCUGCCAAAGGCCUUGGCACAGCUCACUGCUCUGGGAAGGUCUGAAUGAGUUUGGGAGGCAUUAGGGUCAGAGAGUCUGGGGGCAAGUGAAGUGGAGGAAAAAUGUUUCUUGGCCUCAGAAGCUGCUUACUGGAUUCCUCCAAGCCGAGGACUUGCUUCAUUCGGUCAUUUAUUCAUUCAGCAAACACUUCUAUAAACAAUGGGAGCCAAAGUGUGCUGCAUUUAAGUUCUCGUCUGGGAGAAGCUCAGUCCACUGGGGAGACACACAAAACUGGACAAGUACAUAUGUAUGACAAGCACUGGAAUGAGGGAAGCCCCCAUCCUGCCCGAAAGUGGCUUUACAAGAGGCUGACUUGUGAGCAGAGUCAUGGGGAGUGAGGACACAUACAUCAGGAGGGCCUCCUGGCAGCUGGCACAGCACACUCCACAGAGCUUGAUAAAGCCAAAGCUGAAAACAGCAGAGAGGCAAGACACAGAGGAGGCAAGGGAGGGCCUCAGGUCCAGCUGAAGAUGAGCUUUGCCUCCAGUGGCACCACCACCCACCCUGAUUGCCGAACCAAAGCUCACCUCUGAAUGCCAUUCUGGAGGAGUGCAUUAUACUGACAGAGCAGUGGGCCUUGCAGUUGGACCUCAGUUUGAAGCUCUGCUAUGCCACACUUGCUGUAUGACCUUGGGCAAAUCACUUAACCUCUAAGCCUCGGUUUCUUCAUCCAUAAAAUGAGAAUAACAGGAGAACCUAAGUCAGAUUAUUGAGGAUGAAAUGGAGUGAUGUACAAAAAGGUUGGGCAUAGUGCCUGGCGCAUGUCAACGUUUGGUCUAUGGAGGCUGCUGUAGCAGCCACAGUGGUUGGGCAGUGUUUUCUCAACACAUCUCAUUCUCUCCCUACCCAAUACCAAAAGUCCUAUCCAGGUGGCUUUCCCAGUUGCUCUAACCAGUCACUUCUUUCCACUUACCACCUCUACUUUCAAAGCCUUACGUGGCUGGCUGAACAUUGUCCUCGGGCUCAAACCAGAACCCAGUGUGGCCUGCAGGCUCCUUGGGAUCCAGCCCCAGCUUAGCUUGCUAGCUUCAUUUCUCAGCCUCUCCUCUCUCACCUGCCUUCCCAGCCCCAGCCCCUGUCCUAGCCCCUGUCCCACACAAAAAAAAUAAAAAUAAAAUCUAGACUCUGACUGUA